AUGUGCACAAAAAACAAAACUUGCUUCAAAUCCAGAAUCAAGAAGCAUGUCUUGAUAGUAAUACUAUGGAAGACAGUAGUGAAAAUGUUUGCGAUGAGGAUCCAUCUUAUGAAUCAUCAAAUAAUUCAUCAAAUAACAAUUUUGUUGAACCUGUGAUAGAUCAGGCAACAAAUUCUGUUCCUAAACAAACUAAUAAUUCAACAAAUACUUCUAAUCGAUUACAUAUAUCAAUGUCAAUAAAUGUACCAGACAAAAAUGUCCAAGAUAACAAUGGAAAUCUCAAUGAAGGAAUUUUUAAUAGUAAUACUAUAGGAGAGAAAAUUGAAAAAAAUGUUUACAAUGAGGAUC